rnacentral:rRNA from 1 species
GACGUAGGGGACGAGCGUUGUCCGGAUUCAUUGGGCGUAAAGGGCGCGUAGGCGGCCCGCUAAGUCGAACGUGAAAUCCCUGGGCUCAACCCAGGAACUGCGUCCGAUACUGGCAGGCUUGAAUCCGGGAGAGGGAUGUGGAAUUCCAGGUGUAGCGGUGAAAUGCGUAGAUAUCUGGAGGAACACCGGUGGCGAAGGCGGCAUCCUGGACCGGUAUUGACGCUGAUGCGCGAAAGCCAGGGGAGCAAACGGG